GACGAACGCUGGCGGCGUGCUUAACACAUGCAAGUCGAACGGUAAGGCCCUUCGGGGUACACGAGUGGCGAACGGGUGAGUAACACGUGGGUGAUCUGCCCUGCACUUCGGGAUAAGCCUGGGAAACUGGGUCUAAUACCGGAUAGGACCACUGCCGGCAUGGGUGGUGGUGGAAAGCUUUUGCGGUGUGGGAUGGUCGCGCGGCCUAUCAGCUUGUUGGUGGGGUGAUGGCCUACCAAGGCGACGACGGGUAGCCGGCCUGAGAGGGUGACCGGCCACACUGGGACUGAGAUACGGCCCAGACUCCUACGGGAGGCAGCAGUGGGGAAUAUUGCACAAUGGGCGCAAGCCUGAUGCAGCGACGCCGCGUGAGGGAUGACGGCCUUCGGGUUGUAAACCUCUUUCAGCACCGACGAAGCGCAAGUGACGGUAGGUGCAGAAGAAGGACCGGCCAACUACGUGCCAGCAGCCGCCGUAA
rnacentral:rRNA from 1 species